UCGGGAAUAUUGCGCAAUGGAGGAAACUCUGACGCAGUGACGCCGCGUAUAGGAAGAAGGUUUUCGGAUUGUAAACUAUUGUCGUUAGGGAAGAGAAAAGGACAGUACCUAAGGAGGAAGCUCCGGCUAACUACGUGCC
rnacentral:rRNA from 1 species